AGCGAACGCUGGCGGCAGGCCUAACACAUGCAAGUCGAGCGCCCCGCAAGGGGAGCGGCAGACGGGAGAGUAACACGUGGGAACGUACCCUUCGGUUCGGAACAACCCAGGGAAACUUGGGCUAAUACCGGAUACGUCCGUAAGGAGAAAGAUUUAUCGCCGAAGGAUCGGCCCGCGUCUGAUUAGCUUGUUGGUGAGGUAACGGCUCACCAAGGCGACGAUCAGUAGCUGGUCUGAGAGGAUGAUCAGCCUCACUGGGACUGAGACACGGCCCAGACUCCUACGGGAGGCAGCAGUGGGGAAUAUUGGACAAUGGGCGCAAGCCUGAUCCAGCCAUGCCGCGUGGGUGAUGAAGGCCUAAGGGUUGUAAAGCCCUUUCGGCGGGAAGAUAAUGACGGUACCCGCAGAAGAAGCCCC
rnacentral:rRNA from 1 species